rnacentral:rRNA from 1 species
UACGUAGGGUGCGAGCGUUUAAUCGGAAUUACUGGGCGUAAAGCGUGCGCAGGCGGUGAUGUAAGACAGAUGUGAAAUCCCCGGGCUCAACCUGGGAACUGCAUUUGUGACUGCAUCGCUGGAGUGCGGCAGAGGGGGAUGGAAUUCCGCGUGUAGCAGUGAAAUGCGUAGAUAUCAGGAGGAACACCAAUGGCGAAGGCAGCUCGCUGGGACGGUACUGACGCUGAGGCGCGAAAGCGUGGGGAGCAAACAGG